UAUACCCUACUCUCCCUCCUAUAUAAACCCACUCCCACCGCUCCACUUUUCAUAGCAAAAAUACACGAUUCUCUGUGUGUUGUGAGUCUCUUGCAGUUGUCUUGUUAGGCUUUCAUCUUUAUUUUUGCACAAAAUAGCCUUUGAAUUUUAAUUAAAUUUGUUUCUGCUAUGCGCUGAGAGUCGCAGGGUGUUUGAAGGGACUCUUUCCUUUCUGUGUUUCUGUUCCGUGCUCUGCGCUGAGAGUCACAGGGUGUUUGAAGGGAGUUACUCUGCAUUUUCAAGUGUUUGAUAGGAAAUGGCGGGUGCUUCAAGCGGUCGCGCUGGUUAUGGACUGUACGUCUAACAGCUCGUUUUUGAUGUAGAUGUCGUUCUCCACAACCAAAUUGAAAACAUAUUUAUUUACAAAAUGUCCAUUCAAUUCAUCCCACUUUUGUACAUUUCUGUCGUUUUGGUAUUCUCUAAAUUAUUUCGUACAACACUUACGUUUCAGAAAAAUGUUAAGCUUAUAGAAGCUCUUAUAAAUGGAAUUGUGAUAAUGUUUUGAACUUUUUUGUGGGGGGUGAGAAUGUCAUAGGGGUCCUUCUUCUAAUUCAUUGUGGGUAAUGUGUAAUGUUCACAUGAACUGAACCAAAUCUUUUCAUUGUC